GACGAACGCUGGCGGCGUGCUUAACACAUGCAAGUCGAACGAAGUGGCGGACGGGUGAGUAACGCGUAAUCAACCUGCCCUUCAGAGGGGGACACCAGUUGGAAACGACUGCUAAUACCGCAUACUGAUGGGGGGGUUUGCGUGUGAUUAGCUAGUUGGGGGGGUAACGGCCCACCCAGGCGAUGAUCAGUAGCCGGGUGUGGAGGAGGAACGGACAAAAUGGGAAUGGGACACGGCCCAGAACCCCACGGGAGGGAGCAGGGGGGAAACUUCCGCAAUGGACGAAAGUCUGACGGAGCAAAGCCGCGGGAGUGAUGACGGGCUUCGGGUUGGAAAGCUCUGUUCAGCGGGACGCGGUACCGGAAUAGAAAGCAACGGCUAACUACGUGCCAGCAGCCGCGGUAAUUC
rnacentral:rRNA from 1 species